UACGGAGGGUGCAAGCGUUAAUCGGAAUUACUGGGCGUAAAGCGCACGCAGGUGACUGAGUCAGUCGAUUGUGAAAGCCCUGGGCUUAACCUGGGAAUUGCAGUCGAUACUACUCAGCUAGAGUAUGGGAGAGGGCAGUGGAAUUCCCGGUGUAGCGGUGAAAUGCGUAGAUAUUCGGAAGAACACCAGUGGCGAAGGCGACUUACUGGACACAUAUUGACGCUGAGGUGCGAAAGCGUGGGGAGCAAACAGG
rnacentral:rRNA from 1 species